rnacentral:rRNA from 1 species
CCGACAAGUAGAGUAUACUAAGGCGCUAGGGUGAGCCGUGGCUAAGGAACUAGGCAAAUUAACCCCGUAACUUCGGGAAAAGGGGUGCCCCCUUCGGGGGGCCGCAGAGAAAUGGGAGCGGCGACUGUUUAUCAAAAACACAUGGCUUUGCAAAAUCGAAGAUGAAGUAUAAGGCCUGACACCUGCCCGGUGCUGGAAGGUUAAGAGGAGAGGUUAAUCGCAAGAUGAAGCUUUGAAUCGAAGCCCCAGUAAACGGCGGCCGUAACGAUAACGGUCCUAAGGUAGCGAAAUUCCUUGUCGGGUAAGUUCCGACCUGCACGAAUGGUGUAACGAUCGCUCCACUGUCUCAGCCACGAGCCCUGUGAAAUUGGAGUAACGGUGAAGAUACCGUUUACCCGCAACGGGACGGAAAGACCCCGUGCACCUUUACUAUAGCUUUACAUUGAACUUGGGUAAAUAAUGUGUAGGAUAGCUGGGAGACUUUGAAGUGGUGUCGCUAGGCAUCAUGGAGUCAACGUUGAAAUACCAGCCUUUGUUUACUUGAGUUCUAACUCCUCAUGGGAGGACAUUGUAUGGUGGGUAGUUUGACUGGGGUGGUCGCCUCCAAAAGAGUAUCGAAGGCUUUCAAAGGUACACUCAACACGCUUGGUAACCGUGUGUAGAGCGCAUUAGCAUAAGUGUGCUUGACUGUGAGGCCGACAAGCCGAGCAGGUACGAAAGUAGGAUAAAGUGAUCCGGUGGUUCCGCAUGGAAGGGCCAUCGCUCAUAGGAUAAAAGGUACGCCGGGAUAACAGGCUGAUCACUCCCAAGAGCUCACAUCGACGGAGUGGUUUGGCACCUCGAUGUCGGCUCGUCACAUCCUGGGGCUGGAGAAGGUCCCAAGGGUUCGGCUGUUCGCCGAUUAAAGUGGCACGCGAGCUGGGUUCAGAACGUCGUGAGACAGUUCGGUCCCUAUCUGUUGUGGGCGUAGGAGAUUUGAGGGGACCUAACUCUAGUACGAGAGGACCGAGUUGGACAUACCGCUAGUGUGCCUGUUGUGCCGCCAAGGUGCAGCGCAGGGUAGCUAUGUAUGGAUGAGAUAAGCGCUGAAAGCAUAUAAGUGCGAAGCUCGCCUCAAGAUGAGAUCUCCCUUAAGAGCCGUAACAGACUAUUACGUUGAUAGGCUACAGGUGUAAAGGCAGUAAUGUCACAGCCGAGUAGUACUAAUUGCUAAA